ensembl:lncRNA
AUCAAGUCAGGAAUAGGCCUUGUAUUCCACUUCACAGGAGAAAAAGACUGUUUAAUCUAGUGCGGAGUAAGGGUCCGUACUAAAAAGGAGUAGAUCUCCUUCCAUGGAAUCUCAGUGCUCUUCACUGGGGAAGAGGUGCUGCAGUUAGCAUGCAGUAAAUUCUCUCCCGCUAGUGACAAGGACAACAAUGUGAGCUAGUUGGCAUUAAGGACUGUUGGUUCAGAGGGAGAGCUACUGCAUGGCUGGCAUGAGAACUGCAGGAGAGGCUGACAGGGGAUUCACAGGUUACAUGGCAAGCGUUGCAGACCUACAAGAUGUGCAAAUUAUGGUAGUUAUGGACUUUCAGCUCCAUAUGUUGGCAUAUCUUCUGAAAUUGGAUGUAAAAUGAGUGAUGAUUUGUGACGUUACUGACAGUUUGAGGAGUAAUUGUCAGAUGACUAAAGAAAUUGGGAAUUUGUAGAUAUUUUUAAAUUUUGUAUUCAGAAAAACACAUUUCAUCUUCUAAUGCUUUUCAUAGCAAUUUUUAUUAAAUAUAAGUAAGUUUAUUUUCUAAUAAAAGUAAUAAAUAUGCUAGCGUUAUGUUGUUGAUAGAGUUUAGCCUUUAUUUUAACAUCAUUAUUUGUUUUCCCACACCUCAUGAAUAUAUUCUAGAUAGUUUACAAGUUUGCACCAAGUUGAUUGUUUAAGGAGAAAAAAUGUCAAAAUAGCUUCAAGUACCUUCCAUUAUGUUCUUUGUUGCUCUGCCGCGUUUCCGUCUCUAUCUAUAUUUUAUUAUUAAGAAGGUCUGCUUUUACUUUUAUGAUGUGAAGUCUGUCAAAACAAUGCAUUAAAUAAUUCUGAA